CUUCUGCUGUGAUGAAUCAUGAAUACAAUUCACAUGUCAGACUUCAGAGACUAGUCUAUGAGAAGAAACUUUCAUGUUUACUGAGCAGAAC
rnacentral:snoRNA from 1 species